GUAGGUGAACCUGCGGAAGGAUCAUUAACACGUAUCCAACGUUAAACAACCCCGUGAACCUUCAGCCUGCUCUCGUAGCCCACGCGGCAACAGCAAUCCCGGUAAAUCAUUGUCAACCAGUUUUGAUUCGGGACCUCUGAGACAGUUACGAUCGAGCGGUAGAGUCAGUGGCAUGGCUUCCCCAAGCAGAAUCCAGAGAAUGAAAGGAUCACUGGCUGCGCAAGGAUAACGCCUCACGGUUGCUAGAGGU
rnacentral:misc_RNA from 1 species